CAAUAGCGUAUAUUAACGUUGUUGCAGUUAAAAAGCUCGUAGUUGGAUUUCUGGAGGGAGCGUCGGCCCGUAUUUACGAGUGCGUGACGUCUCUGUCCAUCCUUGCGGGAAGGCACGGCAUUGAUUUGUUGUGUCGGAUCGCAUCAUUUACUGUGAAAAAAUUAGAGUGUUCAAAGCAGGCUUUCGCUUGAAUCCAUUAGCAUGGAAUAAUAAGAUAGGACUUUGGUGCUAUUUUGUUGGUUGAGCCUAAAGUAAUGAUUAAUAGGGAUAGUUGGGGGCACCUGUAUUGCGUUGUCAGAGGUGAAAUUCUUGGAUUUACGCAAGACAAACAGCUGCGAAAGCGUCUGCCAAGGAUGUUUUCAUUAA
rnacentral:rRNA from 1 species